rnacentral:piRNA from 1 species
UAAAGUUUAAUGCUAUCACUGGAUCC